GAGGGGGCAAGCGUGUUCGGAAUUACUGGGCGUAAAGGGCGCGUAGGCGGCUCUUUUAGUCAGGUGUGAAAGCCCUGGGCUCAACCUGGGAGUGGCACUUGAUACUGGAGGGCUAGAGAGUGGGAGAGGUUGGUGGAAUUCCCAGUGUAGAGGUGAAAUUCGUAGAUAUUGGGAAGAACACCGGUGGCGAAGGCGGCCAACUGGACCAUUUCUGACGCUGAGGCGCGAAAGCGUGGGGAGCAAACAGGAUUAGAUACCCUGGUAGUCCACGCUGUAAACGAUGAGUGCUGGACGUUGCGGAGCUUGCUCUGCGGUGUCGUAGCUAACGCGAUAAGCACUCCGCCUGGGGAGUACGGCCGCAAGGUUG
rnacentral:rRNA from 1 species